GUAUAGGGGGCGAAUCGAACUUCACAUAUGUUCGCCCGGCGAUGCGAACAUGCUAAGUUCGCCUGGAACUGUUCGCCGGCGAACAAUUCGCGACAUCUCUAGUGGAGACCUGUGAGAUCGCUGCGUGGGAAAUAGAUGCUGCAGUGAUGGGUUUUGGCUGGAAGAAGUCGUCAUGGUGGUCUGAGCCAGAUGGAGAACAGAAGGAAAGAGGACGACGCCAGCCGUAAAAGACGGGAAUUAUCCGUGUAUCCUGUGGACUACUUAGGAUUCGGUCGACUGCGUCGAUGAUCAACUUUUUUUUUCUUUCUGUUUAAUGUUAAUAAAAUGGUUAACGCAGGCUUGUGGGGGAGUCUUUUUUUGGAAUAAAUUUUUUUUAAACCUGUUGUGUUUUUUUUUAUUUGCUUGACAGGCUUAGUAGUGGAAGGCGUCCUAUAGACAGAAUCCAUUACUAAGCCGUUGCUUAGCGUUAGCCCCAAUUAAAGUUAGCGUUAACCCCCAAU